UACGGGGGGUGCGAGCGUUGUCCGGAAUCACUGGGCGUAAAGGGCGCGUAGGUGGUUUGAUAAGGGUGUGGUGAAAGCCCGGGGCUCAACCCCGGGUCUGCCGUGCCGACUGUCAAACUCGAGGGCUGUAGAGGCAGACGGAAUUCCGGGUGUAGCGGUGGAAUGCGUAGAGAUCCGGAGGAAGACCGGCGGCGAAGGCGGUCUGCUGGGCAGUUUCUGACACUGAUGCGCGACAGCGUGGGGAGCAAACAGG
rnacentral:rRNA from 1 species